UUGAACGCUGGCGGCAGGCCUAACACAUGCAAGUCGAACGGUAACAGGAAGCAGCUUGCUGUUUCGCUGACGAGUGGCGGACGGGUGAGUAAUGUCUGGGAAACUGCCUGAUGGAGGGGGAUAACUACUGGAAACGGUAGCUAAUACCGCAUAACGUCGCAAGACCAAAGAGGGGGACCUUCGGGCCUCUUGCCAUCGGAUGUGCCCAGAUGGGAUUAGCUAGUAGGUGGGGUAACGGCUCACCUAGGCGACGAUCCCUAGCUGGUCUGAGAGGAUGACCAGCCACACUGGAACUGAGACACGGUCCAGACUCCUACGGGAGGCAGCAGUGGGGAAUAUUGCACAAUGGGCGCAAGCCUGAUGCAGCCAUGCCGCGUGUAUGAAGAAGGCCUUCGGGUUGUAAAGUACUUUCAGCGGGGAGGAAGGGAGUAAAGUUAAUACCUUUGCUCAUUGACGUUACCCGCAGAAGAAGCACCGGCUAACUCCGUGCCAGCAGCCGCGGUAAUACGGAGGGUGCAAGCGUUAAUCGGAAUUACUGGGCGUAAAGCGCACGCAGGCGGUUUGUUAAGUCAGAUGUGAAAUCCCCGGGCUCAACCUGGGAACUGCAUCUGAUACUGGCAAGCUUGAGUCUCGUAGAGGGGGGUAGAAUUCCAGGUGUAGCGGUGAAAUGCGUAGAGAUCUGGAGGAAUACCGGUGGCGAAGGCGGCCCCCUGGACGAAGACUGACGCUCAGGUGCGAAAGCGUGGGGAGCAAACAGGAUUAGAUACCCUGGUAGUCCACGCCGUAAACGAUGUCGACUUGGAGGUUGUGCCCUUGAGGCGUGGCUUCCGGAGCUAACGCGUUAAGUCGACCGCCUGGGGAGUACGGCCGCAAGGUUAAAACUCAAAUGAAUUGACGGGGGCCCGCACAAGCGGUGGAGCAUGUGGUUUAAUUCGAUGCAACGCGAAGAACCUUACCUGGUCUUGACAUCCACGGAAGUUUUCAGAGAUGAGAAUGUGCCUUCUGGAACCGUGAGACAGGUGCUGCAUGGCUGUCGUCAGCUCGUGUUGUGAAAUGUUGGGUUAAGUCCCGCAACGAGCGCAACCCUUAUCCUUUGUUGCCAGCGGUCCGGCCGGGAACUCAAAGGAGACUGCCAGUGAUAAACUGGAGGAAGGUGAGGAUGACGUCAAGUCAUCAUGGCCCUUACGACCAGGGCUACACACGUGCUACAAUGGCGCAUACAAAGAGAAGCGACCUCGCGAGAGCAAGCGGACCUCAUAAAGUGCGUCGUAGUCCGGAUUGGAGUCUGCAACUCGACUCCAUGAAGUCGGAAUCGCUAGUAAUCGUGGAUCAGAAUGCCACGGUGAAUACGUUCCCGGGCCUUGUACACACCGCCCGUCACACCAUGGGAGUGGGUUGCAAAAGAAGUAGGUAGCUUAACCUUCGGGAGGGCGCUUACCACUUUGUGAUUCAUGACUGGGGUG
rnacentral:rRNA from 1 species